GUAGGGGGCGAGCGUUGUCCGGAUUUAUUGGGCGUAAAGAGCGCGUAGGCGGCCUGGCAGGUCCGACGUGAAAUCUCGAGGCUCAACCUCGAGCGGUCGUUGGAAACCACCUGGCUAGAGUCCGGAAGAGGAGAGUGGAAUUCCUGGUGUAGCGGUGAAAUGCGCAGAUAUCAGGAAGAACACCCAUGGCGAAAGCAGCUCUCUGGGACGGUACUGACGCUGAGGCGCGAAAGCGUGGGGAGCGAACAGGAUUAGAUACCCUGGUAGUCCACGCCGUAAACGAUGGGCGCUAGGUGUGGGCGGUGUCGACUCCGUCCGUGCCGAAGCUAACGCAUUAAGCGCCCCGCCUGGGGAGUACGGCCGCAAGGCUAAA
rnacentral:rRNA from 1 species